AACGAACGCUGGCGGCAUGCCUAACACAUGCAAGUCGAACGAGACCUUCCUGUCUUGUUGCGCACGGGUGCUUACCGCCUGGUAAGUUGCCCUUAGGUUCCGUAUCCUUCCCUGUAGGGGGUCUUCAGACCGGUUAAUCUAUUCCGACCAAGGAUCUCUUGCCUUUGGGUGGGCCCGCGUUGGUUUCGCUAGUUGGUAGGGGAAUAGCCUCCCAAGGCGACGUUGCAUAGCUGGUCGGAGAGGAUGAUCAGCCACACUGGGACUGAGACACGGCCCAGACUCCUACGGAAGGCAGCAGUGGAGAAUAUUAGACGAGGAACGAAAGCGUGAUCCAGCAAUGCCGCGGAAGAGAUGAAGGCCGUAGGGAUGUAAAGCUCUUUUACCCGGGAUGAUAAUGACAGUACCGGGAGAAUAAGCACCGGCUAACUCCGUG
rnacentral:rRNA from 1 species